rnacentral:ncRNA from 2 species
GUUCGGCACCUUAACAUAUCGGGGUGCCAUCUCGAGUAAUCGAGUGAAUAAAAUUGGCUUAUAACGGUGGACUCCAUAAUUUACUUAGUUUAUAAUAUAAUUAUGGACAAUACCGUGGGAAGUCUAACUCAAGAGCAAAAAUCAAUAAUCAUCGGCUCGAUUUUAGGCGAUGGUUAUUUGCGCAUUAUUGAGUUAUGACCCUCUAGAGACUUGUUUCUUUUUACAUUAAAAAAGAACUUAUAGCGUUGCGGUUAAUUUUAUAGCGCUAUAACACGCCAACUCCUGUUGGAAUUUUAACAGGAUGAAGAUAUAGUCCGAUCCUGCGAGUAAUCGCAGA